GACGUAGGGCGCGAGCGUUGUCCGGAUUUAUUGGGCGUAAAGAGCUCGUAGGCGGCUUGUCGCGUCGACUGUGAAACCCGACGGCUCAACUGCGGGCCUGCAGUCGAUACGGGCAGGCUAGAGUUCGGUAGGGGAGACGUGGAAUUCCUGGUGUAGCGGUGAAAUGCGCAGAUAUCAGGAGGAACACCGGUGGCGAAGGCGGGUCUCUGGGCCGAUACUGACGCUGAGGAGCGAAAGCGUGGGGAGCGAACAGG
rnacentral:rRNA from 1 species